AUCAACUUUCGAUGGUAGGAUAGAGGCCUACCAUGGUUUUAACGGGUAACGGGGAAUUAGGGUUCGAUUCCGGAGAGGGAGGCUGAGAAACGGCUACCACAUCCAAGGAAGGGAGCAGGCACGCAAAUUACCCAAUCCCGAUACGGGGAGGUAGUGACAAUAAAUAACAAUACAGGGCUCUUAUGGGUCUUGUAAUUGGAAUGAGUACAAUUUAAACCCCUUAACGAGGAACAAUUGGAGGGCAAGUCUGGUGCCAGCAGCCGCGGUAAUUCCAGCUCCAAUAGCGUAUAUUAAAGUUGUUGCAGUUAAAAAGCUCGUAGUUGAAUUUCGGGGUUCUACCGUUGGUCGGGCAAUAGUCUGUACUGGCGUGUGGAAUUUCUACCUUCUGGGGAACCAUCAUGUUAUUAAUUUAGUGUGGUGGGAAACCAGGACCUUUACCUUGAAAAAAUUAGAGUGUUCAAAGCAGGCUUAUGUCUGAAUACAUUAGCAUGGAAUAAUAAAAUAGGACGGUGGUCCUGUUUUGUUGGUUUCUGAAUCACCGUAAUGAUUAAUAGGGAUAGUUGGGGGCAUUAGUAUUCAAUUGUCAGAGGUGAAAUUCUUGGAUUUAUUGAAGACUAACUUCUGCGAAAGCAUUUGCCAAGGAUGUUUUCAUUAAUCAAGAACGAAAGUUAGGGGAUCGAAGACGAUCAGAUACCGUCGUAGUCUUAACCAUAAACUAUGCCGACUAGGGAUCAGACGAUGUUAAUUUUUCUUGACUCGUUCGGCGCCUUACGGGAAACCAAAGUGUUUGGGUUC
rnacentral:rRNA from 1 species